rnacentral:tRNA from 1 species
UCCCUGGUGGCUCAGCAGAUAAAGCGUCUGCCUGCAAUGCAGGAGACCCAGGUUCAAUCCCUGGGUUGGGAA